rnacentral:RNase_P_RNA from 1 species
UAAGUGGGUUGAGUGAUUGCUUGCAUUUAUUGCAAGAGGAAAGUCCGAACUCCUAAGGGAAUUGAUGCUGGAUAACGCCCAGGUGUCGUGAGACAAUGGAAAGUGCCACAGAAAAUAACCGCCAUUAAUAAACACGUGAUAUUAAUGGUAAGGGUGAAAAGGUGGUGUAAGAGACCACCGUAAUUUUUGGUGACAAAAAUUAGCAAGGUAAACCCCAUCAGGAGAAAGACCAUGUAUAGAAGCUGGUAUCCCUUCCAAAUGCUUCGGGGUAGGUCGCUUGAGGUAGCGAGUAAUUGCUAUCCUAGAUAAAUGAUCACAUAAAACAGAAUUCGGCUUACUAACCCACUUAUUUU